rnacentral:misc_RNA from 1 species
GAUGAAGAACGUAGCGAAAUGCGAUAAGUAGUGUGAAUUGCAGAAUUCAGUGAAUCAUCGAAUCUUUGAACGCACAUUGCGCCUCCUGGUAUUCCGGGAGGCAUGCCUGUUCGAGCGUCAUUUCAACCAUCAAGCCCCAGGCUUGUGUUGGGGACCUGCGGCUGCCGCAGGCCCUGAAAACCAGUGGCGGGCUCGCUGUCACACCGGGCGUAGUAGAUUUUAUCUCGCUCAGGGCGUGCUGCGGGUUCCGGCCGUUAAAAAGCCUUUUUUACCCAAGGUUGACCUCGGAUCAGGUAGGAAUACCCGCUGAACUUAAGCAUAUCAAUAAGCGGAGGA